AUACGGAGGGUGCGAGCGUUAAUCGGAAUUACUGGGCGUAAAGCGUACGUAGGCGGUUGGUUAAGUUAGAUGGGAAAGCCCCGGGCUUAACCUGGGAACUGCAUUUAAAACUGGCGAACUAGAGUUGAGUAGAGGGGAGUGGAAUUUCAGGUGUAGCGGUGAAAUGCGUAGAGAUCUGAAGGAACACCAGUGGCGAAGGCGACUCCCUGGACUCGAACUGACGCUGAGGUACGAAAGCGUGGGUAGCAAACGGGAUUAGAAACCCCAGUAGUCC
rnacentral:rRNA from 1 species